UUAAGUUGUAGAAUUUUUGUUUCAGUUCUGUUCUUUCUGCGUGAUUUGUACUGCUGAGCUGUUGGAAUGAAUAAAAUAAAUCACUGUUGUGUUUUUCAACAGCUCCGUGGAUAAGACAGUGACGGUGUACAAUGUGAGCAAUGGAGUUCGUCUUCACACGUUGAGCCAUCAUAAUAGAUUAGUGACAGCCUGUGCCUUCUCGCCAACCCUGCCAUGGAUGGUCACUGGAUCCACAGACAAGACGGUCAACAUCUGUCACUGGCAGAGGGCACAACAGAGAGACAUAAAAAGCUCAGUGUUCAACACCAUAGUCCCCUUCCAAGCUCGUCACCAAGCUUAGGACCCUGGGACUGAACACCUCCCUCUGCAACUGGAUCCUGGAUUUCAUGACGGGCCGCCCCCAGGUAGUAAGGGUAGGCAACAUCACCUCCGCCACGCUGAUCCUCAACACAGGGGCCCUACAGGGGUAUGUGCUUAGUCCUAUCCUGUACUCCUUGUUCACCCAUGACUGCAUGGCCAAGCACGACUCCAACCGCAUCAUCAAGUUUUGUGACGACACUGUGGUGGCCUGAUCACUAGCGACGAUGAGACGGCCUACAUGGACGAAGUCAGUGACCUGGCAUGGUGCCAAGGAGCUGAUCGUGGACUACAGGAAACGGGGGGCGAGCACGCCCACAUUGAUAAGACUGCAGUGGGGUGCAAAUCACUAAACUUUUUCAAUUUUUUGAUUUCACCUUUAUUUAACCAGGUAGGCCAGUUGAAAACAAGUUCUCAUUUACAACUGCGACCUGGCCAA